ACGGACGAGAAGCUUGCUUCUCUGAUGUUAGCGGCGGACGGGUGAGUAACACGUGGAUAACCUACCUAUAAGACUGGGAUAACUUCGGGAAACCGGAGCUAAUACCGGAUAAUAUUUUGAACCGCAUGGUUCAAAAGUGAAAGACGGUCUUGCUGUCACUUAUAGAUGGAUCCGCGCUGCAUUAGCUAGUUGGUAAGGUAACGGCUUACCAAGGCAACGAUGCAUAGCCGACCUGAGAGGGUGAUCGGCCACACUGGAACUGAGACACGGUCCAGACUCCUACGGGAGGCAGCAGUAGGGAAUCUUCCGCAAUGGGCGAAAGCCUGACGGAGCAACGCCGCGUGAGUGAUGAAGGUCUUCGGAUCGUAAAACUCUGUUAUUAGGGAAGAACAUAUGUGUAAGUAACUGUGCACAUCUUGACGGUACCUAAUCAGAAAGCCACGGCUAACUACGUGCCAGCAGCCGCGGUAAUACGUAGGUGGCAAGCGUUAUCCGGAAUUAUUGGGCGUAAAGCGCGCGUAGGCGGUUUUUUAAGUCUGAUGUGAAAGCCCACGGCUCAACCGUGGAGGGUCAUUGGAAACUGGAAAACUUGAGUGCAGAAGAGGAAAGUGGAAUUCCAUGUGUAGCGGUGAAAUGCGCAGAGAUAUGGAGGAACACCAGUGGCGAAGGCGACUUUCUGGUCUGUAACUGA
rnacentral:rRNA from 1 species